rnacentral:tRNA from 1 species
CGGCGGCGCUGGGCGGGCGCCUGGUCGGCUACUACGCGAACGGCGGCGAAGCCGACCUGCGCCGGCUGUUCGAGGCGGUCCGACGCUGGC